UAUAUAUCCUAUUGUGUGUACAUGCUUGCAUGUGUGUGGAUGCACAUAUAUGUACUGGUGUAUAUGUUUAUGUGUGUGUAGACUGCAGGCUGUUGUGUUUGACUCCUCACUUGGCUGAUUGAGACAGCUGUUGAACCAGGAGUUCCCUCAUUCUGAUAAAUCUAGGAAGCCUUCUUGGCCCUAGAAUCUCAUGUUUUUCUGGAGGAAUGCUGUGAUUAUAGGCGGUAAACAUGCCCGCCUUGCUUUCGCAUGGGUACUAGAGAUCCAAACCUUGUUGUUUGUGCUUGCUCAGGAAGCAUUGAUAUUAAGUCAUCUCCAGAGUGUGCGAACCACAGCUUCUAUCUCAAGCCGUAGCCACAUUCAUACAGGCAUGCUUGUCUGAGUGUUGGGUCAGAACUUUGAAUUCAGCAUUUCCAAGCCAACAUUGUUCCGUAGAGAAAAUGUCUAUCACUGUGCUUCAGUGUGUGCAGCUGGGUACUAUGGAGGAAGUGGCCAACAGGACAAUGUUCCUGUAGUGGACACCAGUAUAGAGAGGGUGAGGUGACGCCUGAAAGACUGGAGAGAGAAACUGAGGUCAUAUCACAAAAAAUGCUGACUGUGCAGUUUGAAGCUCUCUUUGAUGACAAAUGGGAACUGAUGAAGGAUUUUAAAUAAAGCAGCUAUCCGAAUUACAUUUUUAACAUCAUUAUGAAUUCAGCGCGCAGGAAAUAUUAGACAACAGAGGAGAGGAGGCCAUAAAACCACUGUCGAUGAGUUGAUUACUUUAGGAAAUUAACCAGAAUUUGUCUCAGUAUUCUUUGAUGUGAAUGCUUAUUUUCCUUAAUAUAAGAUCUUAAGGACAAUAUUUUCAUCUUGUGCAUUCUAUACCUCCCAUCCUGAGCACCUUUCUUUGCAUAUUGUAGAUACUUUUAUUUUGGGUACUGGGGUUUGAACUUCAGGCCCUAAGUAUUCUAGGCAAAUUCUCCGCCACUGAUUUAUGUCUCCAGCGCCUUUGGGUACUUCCCAAGCUGUUCAGAGUGAUAUUGAACUUGUAAUUCCCUUCUGGCUCCUGAGACAUGAGAGUGCAUUGGAAUGCCCCACCCAGCUGGCUUUCCGUCCUCCCUUGUAUCUCUUUGCUAAGUAAAUGAAAAUGAACUUGCUACCAUUGAAAGCAUUUUAUAAUGCAUAUUUCCUCAAAGGACCAGUAAGGGGAAAAUAAACGUAAUAGAAGGAAAAUAGCGAGAAGACAGAGAAAUAGAAUCAGCGACGGAUGAGAUAUGAUUAUGAGGAAAUAAAAUUCAACUUGAUAAGAACUGCCUACUUAGGAGCCCUAGUAUUCAACUGAUUGACAAUUUAAUAUAGACUUUUAGCUCCCAGAACCCAGGUCCUUUGGUGGUGAUAAUAUUACUCCUCACAGGCGAGGCUAGAACUAUGGCUCUAUAUCUUCCAAUGAUCUUUUAUUUUUAAUCUUCUAUUUUUUUAGUUUUGAAAUUACGGUCUCGGCCUCUGGGUGAAUGCAAGUGCAGGGGACAUUGGUUUUGUGCAUCAUACUUAAAGAAAACAAACAGGCUGCCUUAAAACGUCACCAGAGCUGUCAGUAAAGAUGGGGAGUCAAUUACUCUGAUGAAGGGUUGGAAAGGUCAGAAGAUUUCUGGGUUGUGAGAAAGAUGGAACAUAGGAAAAGUACACAGGAAAGAAAUAGGAGGGUCUUGGACACAACUCAGUCUGUCAAGUGCCUGCUGUAGAAGCUAUGAGUACCUGAGAUUGGAUCCCCAGCACCUAUGUAGAAAAGUACUGUGUAGCAGCAGGCAUCUGUUACCCCAGCUCUGAGAAGAUGGAGACAACUAGACCCAUGGAGUUCAACUGGCUACCCACCUUAGCCUUAUUCACUAGCUUCAGGUUCAGUAAGAGGCCAUGUCUCAAAAAAGAAGGGUAGAGAAUGACUAUGGAAGAGAUUAGAUGUAGAAUUCUGCUCUCCCCAUGCACAUAUGUGUCUGUGUGUGCAUAUCCAUGCCUGUGGUUGCCCCCCCACACACAUACACACUACGAGGGAUGGGAGGGGGGGCUGGAACUUAUAAAGGACCAUCGACAUUUCCCCAGCAUUUGCUUCAUCCAUGUUCACAACAUUCAGCUUUUCUUCUUUGAAUAAUACCCUACUUUAAUAAUAUCUAAAUUAUAAAGAUAAACUUAUAUCAGCAUAACUCCCAAGGAGAUGUCUUCCCGCAGUGGUAUGCCUUGAAAGAAAAGAGCUGUGGCUCGAUGCUUGGAGUGAAGGCACACUUCCCAUUUCCCAAACCCAAGUCCUUGCAUUGCUCGCCUGGGAAACACUUCUCCCCUCUAGUCUUUUAGAACAUGAUAGAAAACUAAUAGCUCGGCCAUGCCUUAAUAAAUUUCUCAGUACUACAG